rnacentral:rRNA from 1 species
UACAGAGGUCUCAAGCGUUGUUCGGAUUCAUUGGGCGUAAAGGGUGCGUAGGCGGCGCGGUAAGUCGGGUGUGAAAUCUUGGAGCUUAACUCCGAAACUGCAUUCGAUACUGCCGUGCUUGAGGACUGGAGAGGAGACUGGAAUUUACGGUGUAGCGGUGAAAUGCGUAGAUAUCGUAAGGAAGACCAGUGGCGAAGGCGGGUCUCUGGACAGUACCUGACGCUGAGGCACGAAGGCGAGGGGAGCAAACGGG